GUCACAUGCGCCGAAUACAACAGUGAAAUGCUUACUUACAAGCCCUUAACCAACAAUGCAGUUUUAAGAAAAUACCUAAAAAAGGAGAUAAAAGUAACAAGUAAUUAAAUAGCAGCAGUAAAAUAACAAUAGUGAGGUUUUAUACAGGGGUACCUGUACAGAGUCAAUGUGGAGGCUAUAUACAGGGGGUACCAGUACAGAGUCAAUGUGGAGGCUAUAUACAGGAGGUACCAGUACAGAGUCAAUGUGGAGGCUAUAUACAGGGGUACCGGUACAGAGUCAAUGUGGAGGCUAUAUACAGGGGUACUGGUACAGAGUCAAUGUACAGAGUCAAUGUGGAGGCUAUAUACAGGGGUACCGGUACAGAGUGAAUGUGGAGGCUAUAUACAGGUGGUACCGGUACAGAGUCAAUGUGGAGGCUAUAUACAGGGGUACUGGUACAGAGUCAAUGUGGAGGCUAUAUACAGGGGGUACCGGUACAGAGUCAAUGUACAGAGUCAAUGUGGAGGCUAUAUAAGUAAUAUGUACAUGUAGGUGGAGUUGUUAAAGUGACUAUGCAUAGAUAAUAACAGAGUAGCAGCAGCAUAGAAGAGGGG
rnacentral:lncRNA from 1 species